UUCUUGGGUGAAUUCAGUUUGCCACGACUGCAGCCAUCAAGAGUUGAAACCACCACGAGCAUUUCUGAGUAACCGUUAGGCCGUUAAACAGUAAAUUAAUCAGAACGACCCAAACUGAUGACAAGAAAAGAGAAAUAAAUUACUCAGAUAAAUGGAGAGAGAGAUGACUAGUUGCCAUGGAGAUGUUAUCACUUCAAGACCAAACAUCUUUACUAUGUGGUUCUGCAGGCAGUAGUUUUGCUGAGCUCUGACACAAAGAGAAUUUCAUACAUGGAGACCAAGUAUAUUUUACAUGCCCUGGACUUCAGCAGCAUCUGUGCGACAGUAAAG